rnacentral:rRNA from 1 species
UACCAGCUCUCCGAGUGGUGUGGAUGUUUAUUGGGCCUAAAGCAUCCGUAGCUGGCUGGACAAGUCCCCUGUUAAAUCCACCGAUUUAAUCGUUGGUGUGCGGGGGAUACUGUUCGGCUAGGGGACGGGAGAGGCAGACGGUAUUUUCGGGGUAGGGGUGAAAUCCUAUAAUCCCGGGAAGACCACCAGUGGCGAAGGCCGUCUGCUAGAACGCGCCCGACGGUGAGGGAUGAAAGCUGGGGGAGCGAACCGGAUUAGAUACCCGGGUAGUCCCAGCUGUAAACGAUGCAGGCUAGGUGUUUGGACGGCCACGUGCCGUUCUAGUGCCGCAGGGAAGCCGCUAAGCCUGCCGCCUGGGGAGUACGGCCGCAAGGCUGAAACUUAAAGGAAUUGGCGGGGGAGCACCACAAGGGGUGAAGCUUGCGGUUU